rnacentral:rRNA from 1 species
AGUAAAUUGGUUAAGUUAGAAAGGGCGCACGGUGGAUGCCUUGGCACUAGGAGCCGAAGAAGGACGGGACUAACACCGAUAUGCUUUGGGGAGCUGUACGUAAGCGUUGAUCCAGAGAUUUCCGAAUGGGGGAACCCACUAUCUUUAGUCGGAUAGUAUCCUUACGUGAAUACAUAGCGUGAGGAAGGCAGACCCAGGGAACUGAAACAUCUAAGUACCUGGAGGAAGAGAAAGAAAAAUCGAUUUCCUGAGUAGCGGCGAGCGAAACGGAAAGAGCCCAAACCAAGAAGCUUGCUUCUUGGGGUUGUAGGACACUCUAUACGGAGUUACAAAAGAAAGUUAUAAAUGAAGCGGUCUGGAAAGGCCCGCCAAAGACGGUAACAGCCCGGUAGUUGAAAUAGCUUUCCCUCCAGAGUGGAUCCUGAGUACGGCGGAA